rnacentral:rRNA from 1 species
UAGGGAAUAUUGGACAAUGGGGGCAACCCUGAUCCAGCCAUGCCGCGUGUGUGAAGAAGGCCUUCGGGUUGUAAAGCACUUUCAGUGGGGAGGAAGGUUCUGCGGUUAAUAAGCGCAGGGAUUGACGUUACCUACAGAAGCAGCACCGGCUAACUCCGUGCCAGCAGCCGCGGUAAUACGGAGGGUGCAAGCGUUAAUCGGAAUUACUGGGCGUAAAGCGCGCGUAGGCGGUUUGUUAAGUCGGAAGUGAAAGCCCUGGGCUCAACCUGGGAAUGGCUUUCGAUACUGGCAGGCUAGAGUACGGUAGAGGGGGUAGAAUUCCACGUGUAGCGGUGAAAUGCGUAGAGAUG